rnacentral:rRNA from 1 species
UACGUAGGGUGCGAGCGUUAAUCGGAAUUACUGGGCGUAAAGCGUGCGCAGGCGGUUUCGCAAGUCAGAUGUGAAAGCCCCGGGCUCAACCUGGGAAUUGCAUUUGAAACUACGAGGCUAGAGUGUGUCAGAGGGGGGUAGAAUUCCACGUGUAGCAGUGAAAUGCGUAGAGAUGUGGAGGAAUACCGAUGGCGAAGGCAGCCCCCUGGGAUAACACUGACGCUCAUGCACGGAAGCGUGGGGAGCAAACAGG